UUCCAGAUGACGAGUCCACAAUAGGACGAAACGCAAGUUAUCCUGGAU
rnacentral:hammerhead_ribozyme from 1 species